GACGAACGCUGGCGGCGUGCUUAACACAUGCAAGUCGAACGGAAAGGCCCUGCUUUUGUGGGGUGCUCGAGUGGCGAACGGGUGAGUAACACGUGAGUAACCUGCCCUUGACUUUGGGAUAACUUCAGGAAACUGGGGCUAAUACCGGAUAGGAGCUCCUGCUGCAUGGUGGGGGUUGGAAAGUUUCGGCGGUUGGGGAUGGACUCGCGGCUUAUCAGCUUGUUGGUGGGGGAGUGGCUUACCAAGGCUUUGACGGGUAGCCGGCCUGAGAGGGUGACCGGCCACAUUGGGACUGGGAUGCGGCCCAGACGCCUACGGGAGGCAGGAGUGGGGACUAUUGCACAAUGGGCGGAAGCGUGAUGAAGCAACGCCGCGUGCGGGAUGACGGCCUUCGGGUUGUAAACCGCUUUCGCCUGUGACGAAGCGUGAGUGACGGUAAUGGGUAAAGAAGCACCGGCUAACUACGU
rnacentral:rRNA from 1 species